rnacentral:rRNA from 1 species
GAUGAACGCUGGCGGCGUGCCUAAUACAUGCAAGUCGAGCGAACGGACGAGAAGCUUGCUUUUCUGAUGUUAGCGGCGGACGGGUGAGUAACACGUGGAUAACCUACCUAUAAGACUGGGAUAACUUCGGGAAACCGGAGCUAAAACCGGAUAAUAUUUUGAACCGCAUGGUUCAAAAGUGAAAGACGGUCUUGCUGUCACUUAUAGAUGGAUCCGCGCUGCAUUAGCUAGUUGGUAAGGUAACGGCUUACCAAGGCAACGAUGCAUAGCCGACCUGAGAGGGUGAUCGGCCACACUGGAACUGAGACACGGUCCAGACUCCUACGGGAGGCAGCAGUAGGGAAUCUUCCGCAAUGGGCGAAAGCCUGACGGAGCAACGCCGCGUGAGUGAUGAAGGUCUUCGGAUCGUAAAACUCUGUUAUUAGGGAAGAACAUAUGUGUAAGUAACUGUGCACAUCUUGACGGUACCUAAUCAGAAAGCCACGGCUAACUACGUG